AGAGUUUGAUCCUGGCUCAGAAUCAACGCUGGCGGCGUGCCUAACACAUGCAAGUCGCACGAGAAAGGGACUUCGGUCCUGAGUACAGUGGCGCACGGGUGAGUAACACGUGAAUAAUCUACCUCCGAGUGGGGAAUAACUGAGAGAAAUCUUAGCUAAUACCGCAUAACACUUACGAGUCAAAGCAGCAAUGCGCUUGGAGAGGAGUUCGCGGCAGAUUAGUUAGUUGGCGGGGUAAUGGCCCACCAAGACGAUGAUCUGUAUCCGGCCUGAGAGGGCGCACGGACACACUGGAACUGAAACACGGUCCAGACUCCUACGGGAGGCAGCAGUGGGGAAUUUUGCGCAAUGGGGGAAACCCUGACGCAGCAACGCCGCGUGGAGGAUGAAAUCCCUUGGGAUGUAAACUCCUUU
rnacentral:rRNA from 1 species